ensembl:snRNA U6 U6 spliceosomal RNA
GUGCCUGCUUCAGCAAAACAUAUACUAAAACUGGAAUAAUAGAGAAGAUUAGCAUGGCUGCUGCACAAGUAUUACACACAAAUUCAUAAAGUGUUACCUAUUUCC